GAGGAUGUCGCCAAGCCUGGUAAGGCCUACGGCUGAAGACCGUAUAUGCGCGGGUUCAAAUCCCGCCAUCCUCA
rnacentral:tRNA from 1 species